rnacentral:rRNA from 1 species
CCUACGGGUGGCAGCAGUGGGGAAUCUUGGACAAUGGGCGAAAGCCUGAUCCAGCCAUGCCGCGUGUGUGAAGAAGGCCUUCGGGUCGUAAAGCACUUUCAGUGGGGAAGAAAGCCUUUGGGCUAAUACCCUCGAGGAAGGACAUCACCCACAGAAGAAGCACCGGCUAACUCCGUGCCAGCAGCCGCGGUAAUACGGAGGGUGCGAGCGUUAAUCGGAAUUACUGGGCGUAAAGCGCGCGUAGGCGGUCUGAUAAGCCGGUUGUGAAAGCCCCGGGCUCAACCUGGGAACGGCAUCCGGAACUGUCAGGCUAGAGUGCAGGAGAGGAAGGUAGAAUUCCCGGUGUAGCGGUGAAAUGCGUAGAGAUCGGGAGGAAUACCAGUGGCGAAGGCGGCCUUUUGGACUGAAACUGACGCUGAGGUGCGAAAGCGUGGGUAGCAAACAGGAUUAGAUACCCGGGUAGUC